UACGUAGGGUGCAAGCGUUGUCCGGAAUUAUUGGGCGUAAAGAGCUCGUAGGCGGUUUGUUGCGUCGGCUGUGAAAUCCCGAGGCUCAACCUCGGGUCUGCAGUCGAUACGAGCAAACUAGAGUGUUGCAGGGGAGACUGGAAUUCCUGGUGUAGCGGUGAAAUGCGCAGAUAUCAGGAGGAACACCGGUGGCGAGGGCGGGAUCCUGGGCCAGUACUGACGCUGAGGAGCGAAAGCGUGGGGAGCAAACAGG
rnacentral:rRNA from 1 species